rnacentral:rRNA from 1 species
ACGAACGCUGGCGGCUUGCUUAACACAUGCAAGUCGAACGGAAAGGCCCUGCUUUUGUGGGGUGCUCGAGUGGCGAACGGGUGAGUAACACGUGAGUAACCUGCCCUUGACUUUGGGAUAACUUCAGGAAACUGGGGCUAAUACCGGAUAGGGGCUCCUGCUGCAUGGUGGGGGUUGGAAAGUUUCGGCGGUUGGGGAUGGACUCGCGGCUUAUCAGCUUGUUGGUGGGGUAGUGGCUUACCAAGGCUUUGACGGGUAGCCGGCCUGAGAGGGUGACCGGCCACAUUGGGACUGAGAUACGGCCCAGACUCCUACGGGAGGCAGCAGUGGGGAAUAUUGCACAAUGGGCGGAAGCCUGAUGCAGCAACGCCGCGUGCGGGAUGACGGCCUUCGGGUUGUAAACCGCUUUCGCCUGUGACGAAGCGUGAGUGACGGUAAUGGGUAAAGAAGCACCGGCUAACUACGUG